rnacentral:rRNA from 1 species
AACGAACGCUGGCGGCAUGCCUAACACAUGCAAGUCGAACGAGAACUUCGGGUCUAGUGGCGCACGGGUGCGUAAGGCGUGGGAACCUGCCCUUAGGUUCGGAAUAACUCCCCGAAAGGGGUGCUAAUACCGGAUAAUGUUUUCGGACCAAAGAUUUAUCGCGUUUGGAUGGGCCCGCGUUGGAUUAGCUAGUUGGUAGGGUAAAAGCCUAGCAAGGCGACGAUCCAUAGCUGGUCUGAGAGGAUGAUCAGCCACACUGGGACUGAGACACGGCCCAGACUCCUACGGGAGGCAGCAGUGGGGAAUAUUGGACAAUGGGCGAAAGCCUGAUCCAGCAAUGCCGCGUGAGUGAUGAAGGCCUUAGGGUUGUAAAGCUCUUUUACCCGGGAUGAUAAUGACAGUACCGGGAGAAUAAGCGCCGGCUAACUCCGUG